rnacentral:rRNA from 1 species
UACGGAGGGUGCGAGCGUUAAUCGGAAUUACUGGGCGUAAAGGGCGCGCAGGCGGUGGGGUACGUCUGCCGUGAAAUCCCCGGGCUCAACCUGGGAAUGGCGGUGGAAACGGGCUGACUGGAGUAUGGGAGAGGGUGAUGGAAUUCCAGGUGUAGCGGUGAAAUGCGUAGAGAUCUGGAGGAACACCAGUGGCGAAGGCGGUCCCCUGGCCCAAUACUGACGCUGAGGCGAGAAAGCGUGGGGAGCAAACAGG